rnacentral:rRNA from 1 species
GGGAACAUACCCUUUUCUACGGAAUAGCUCUGGGAAACUGGAAUUAAUACCGUAUACGCCCUACGGGGGAAAGAUUUAUCGGGGAAGGAUUGGCCCGCGUUGGAUUAGCUAGUUGGUGGGGUAAAGGCCUACCAAGGCGACGAUCCAUAGCUGGUCUGAGAGGAUGAUCAGCCACAUUGGGACUGAGACACGGCCCAAACUCCUACGGGAGGCAGCAGUGGGGAAUAUUGGACAAUGGGCGCAAGCCUGAUCCAGCCAUGCCGCGUGAGUGAUGAAGGCCUUAGGGUUGUAAAGCUCUUUCACCGAUGAUGAUAAUGACGGUAGUCGGAGAAGAAGCCCCGGCUAACUUCGUGCCAGCAGCCGCGGUAAUACGAAGGGGGCUAGCGUUGUUCGGAAUUACUGGGCGUAAAGCGCACGUAGGCGGAUAUUUAAGUCAGGGGUGAAAUCCCAGAGCUCAACUCUGGAACUGCCUUUGAUACUGGGUAUCUUGAGUAUGGAAGAGGUAAGUGGAAUUGCGAGU